rnacentral:misc_RNA from 1 species
CAGAAAUGGCUGCCCCCACUAUCCCGAUCUCAAAUCCCCAGUCCCAAUCACAACCCCCAAUCGCCACCCCCGCCUUCCGCGCCUUCAUCUCACUCCUCUCCUCUUCGAUCCGUCAUGGUUUAUCUCAGCGCCGCCCUUGGUCGGAACUCGUUGACCGGAACUCCAUGGCCCGACCUGAUUCCCUCUCCGAAGCCGCCUCCCGGAUCCGGAAAAAUCUAUCUUAUUUUAAAGUCAAUUAUAUUACCUUUCUUGCAAUUGUACUCGCUUUCUCCCUCUUGUC